GGACCGGCCCACGGAGUUGCAGCCGCCCAUCGCUCCCUCCUUGCGGACAUCAUGCUCCAGUUCCUGCUUGGAUUUACUCUUGGCAACGUGGUUGGAAUGUAUCUGGCUCAGAACUAUGAUAUACCAAACCUGGCUAAAAAACUUGAAGACAUUAAAAAGGACCUGGAUGCCAAGAAGAAACCCCCUAGUUCAUGAGGCCGACUCCAGCCCUGCCUUCUGGAUUCUACUAUUGUCGAGGGCCUUCUUUACUCUGAACCAAAAGCUUUUGUUUUAAUUUCCAGCCUCAGCAGUUUUCUUCAUUGUGUUGCCUUAGAGCACAAAUGGGGCCACAAGUUAAGAACUACCCUUAAUUUUCCAACAGCAUCACUUCUUCCCUUCCUCCUUCCAGCCACUUGGGAGGCCCUGAAACUGGAAUUAUGGUGCUAGAUUAGUAAACAUGACCUUUAAUUAGUAGUCUCUCCCUUUUUCUUUGGAAUUUCUAUUACCUUUUUUCAAAAGAAAAAUUGAUAAAUUUUGUAUAGCAGAUGAGAUAUAAAUAAUGCUGAUUUCACAUUCUAGCAAUUAUAUAAUGGGUAUUUAAACAUUCGGUACUUAAUUAUGUUAUUUCAAAAUAGUAGUUAAAAUCAAGAAGCCAGUUCCUGGUGAAUUAUCCAUUGUUGUCAGGAAGCUGCAUAGUUGCUAUUGUAACCACUAUAUCAAUUUGCUAUUCAUUAACCAAGAAACAGUGUUCUGAGAACCCUGAGAACUUACAAAUAUUUAAAAUAAUGGCCGUUGUCCUCAAUAGUAUUCCUAGUCUAAUAUUCAUGUUGUUUUUUAAUGAUGUGUUUGAUCUGGUUCUUUUCCCUCGUAAGAAUCAUACUUUAUGGGAUAACAGGUGCAUGUGACAUUACCUGGUGGAUAAAUGAGAAGUUGAUUAUAAGGGAAGUUUUAUGCCUUUUUAUAUUUAAAAAAUAUGUUUACAUUAUAACUUUAUAGUGAGCCCCUGAGUGAGUGGGUUAAGGAUCUGGCAUUGCUCAGUCUCAUAGGAAGCCUUUUUGUGUUUUUUUCCUGCAAUCAGAAAUUGCUCUCUUAGUUUGUCAAAUGUAUAAUCAGUCCACAUUUUUUUAAGUGAAAAAAAUUUAAAUAGGUAACUUCCCCUUGGGUCAGUACAAAAGUGAUUUAGAAUUAAGGACUUCUCCCACCCAUGUCCUGCAGCUCCUAAUUCCUCUUCCUGGAGUCAGGCACUGUUGCCAGUUUUUUUGAAAAAGAUUCUGUCCCUAAACAAACAUGUUCAUGAGGGUUAUUAUACAAAUGAUAACAAGCUAUAUACAGAAUUUUCCUCAGUGGAGAUCAUUCCAUAUCCGUAUGUAAGGAACAAAAAACCUCUUCCCCUUUUGUGACUGCAUAAGGUUCUGUUGAAUGAAUAUGCUGCAGUUGAUUUAGUCAGCUCCUGGUGAACAUUUAGGUUGUUUCCUGUCUUUUGUUAUUAUGGUGAUAACCUUAAACCUAAUAUUGUUAUGCAUAUCUAUGCCAGGGAUAGCGCCAAGCUAAAGCCCUAGAAGUGUAGUUUACCCUGUAGUUUCUAGGGCUUUACCAAGCUAAAGCCCUCGAAGUAUAGUUUGUUGGGUAUCAGCUUCACUGAUAAUGCCAUUCCUGGAAACAUUUUAGCAGAAUUAGUAAACUGGAAGGAUGAUUUUAGAGACACCUUUUUUUCAGACACUGAUGGCACUGACAGUAAAUGUGAUUAUACAGUGAGGUGAUUCUACUUUUCUUUGAAAACGUGGAUCUUUCAAACAUGGAGAUACAUUUUGUCCCUGUCAGGUUGUCCUGGUUCGUGAGACAAAUUAGGACCUUAUUAUAGUUUGUCUUCUCCUCAGACAGAGUGUGAUCAGGGGCAAGUGGCUUAUUUCUCCAAAACUGUUGUUUUCUCUUUAAGAUGUGGAUGCAGUACCUACCUCAUAGGGCUUCCAUGAGAAACUGUUGAGAUAACAUACGUGGUGUGUAGCACAGUGCUUUGCAGAUUGUCCAAUAAAUAGUAGAUAUUAGUUGGAACGUGCUGCCUUUGGUCAGAAUACUUUUUUCUGCACUCACUUCUGGAACCAGUUUAUGAACCAUGCAAAAUGUGUCAUUCUCUUUGUAAAAUGAAAAUCUGUAGUAUCCACUGUGAUCAUACCACCUGGCUUACCAGGUUUGAUCUUAAAUGACUGAAUUGUUAGCAGAAUGAACUACAGCCUUGAAGGAUAAUGGUUUACCAUCUUGAUAGGUAUUCAAACUUUCACAAGCUUAGAAAGCUGUUUUCAAAGAGGGAUUCAUUGUUAUCAGCCAUGGAGCCUUGAUGCUUGUGUGUAUGGUCUCCCAGGUGGCUUCUUUGGGGAUGUGAGUCACUUAGAUGUUGCAUGAUGAGGUCUCUAUAAUUGUACUUGUAAAUGAGGCACGAUUGGACUUGGAGCUUCCCCUGGGAGUGACACUUAACCUUGCUGACGGGAUCAUCUCCACCAGUGGGAGCCACCCAGCUAAUCACCUUAAACGUGUGAACAGCAACACAAAGAGUGCAGGCCAACUUCAUGGUCACCAUUCAGAUUCCCUCUCCCAUUUCAGGCUCUUGUAGGAGUGAAAGGGAUCUGGAGUUCUCAGGCAGGAUUAUCUUCACGGAGACAUAUUGUUGGGGGACCUAGAACCAUUAUGGGUUUUAGGCGGUGUGGUGGUUGUGAUCGUGGUACUCAAAGUUAACAUUCUCUGGGUGUUUUGUAGAGGUCCCUGCAGAGGGGUGGGAAGAACUACUGCAAGACAUGCCUUUUUUUUUUUCCUUUAAAAAAAUCUUGAGGAGUUCCUGUUGUGGCACAGUGGAAAUGAAUGCGACUAGUAUCCAUGAGGAUGUGGGUUUGAUCCUUGGCCUCCCUCAGUGGGUUAAGGAUCUGACAUUGCUGUGGGCUGUGGUGUGGGUUGCAGAUGUGGCUCGGACCCACUGUUGCUAUGGCUGUGGCAUAGGCCAGCAGCUGCAGCUCCUAGUGGACCCCCAGCCUGGGAACUUCCAUAUGCUGCCGAUGCAGCCCAAAAAGGCAAAAAAAGAAAAAAAAAAUACGGAAGGAUGCUCACAUGUAAAAAAUAAGACUUCAGGAUUAAUGUCAGAUACUUAAAAAAUACUUUGAAAUGGAAACCUUAUCCUUGAAUUGUAAGUCUCCCAAAUUAAAAAAAAAGGGGGAAGAAAAACCAAAACAACCUUACUUAAAUUGUCCAGAGGGCAUUGUAUUUUAUAAUUUGAGGUUAUAAGUUGAUAUCUGUAGAUGUGUUUUAUACAAUUAAGCAGUUUUUGAUUUAAAGGAACAAUUUUAUUUCCUUCUUUCUAACUAAUUUACUCAUUUUUUAUUCGUGUGACUAGAGAACAGUUACAAUGUGUGGGCUUUCUGGUUGUCUGUACUUACAGGCUCAUGGAACAUAUGUAACAUGUAUAAUGUUCUCAUUUCCACUGGGCAGUUCCCUCCCUAGAUACCAUGCUGGUGUUUGUUUUUCUGCUGAGAUCUCCUACAUUUUAAAUGCUUUCUCUGUUAUUCUUCCUGAAGGAACACUAUAUACUGUGCUGGAGCAAAUGACGCUUUUCUUCAGCUUCCCAGUUCAGACUUUGCACAUAGCAUUUCCAUUCCUUAUGCAGAUGAAUGAGCUCUUUUUUCGCUACUGACUGUGAAGGCCUUACCUUGUGGAAAGGAACAGGGUGGUGGAGAGGAAAUAUUUUGAGACCUCGCCUGACCUUAAACAGUUUGUGAAACUUGGAUUUUCUAAUGUUCAGUUUUUAUAUCUUUCUAAAUUUGGAUGCACCAUGGUCAAGAACUGAAGACCUAGUGAAUGGUGUGUCUUGAGGCACUGGGAGAGGAAUGAAAGAACCAAGCAGUGAGGUUUUGUGGAAAGUGCACGGGACGGGACAUUGCAGAACUAGAGCUUGGGGCCUGCCUGUGAAAAAUGCGGUGUGGUUGCCUCACUCUUGCGGGUGCAGUUGUACGGCAGCGGGCCAAGCAGGCGCUGCCCUGUAAACUGUGCAGCAGCUGCAGGACAGCUUCCUGUGCCCUCGGGUGCUGUCAGUUUCCUUUGUCUUCUAAGGGGUCUGUUGCCUCGAUCUCCUGAGAGUGAUUCUAGGGUUUAGAUGUACUUUUCAAACUGUCGUAACUGUGAAGCCACCUAUUUUAUUUGGGUUCAGCUAAAGAAAGAGGGAUCUGACAAUGCAGGGAAAACUAGCUAUUUUAUACUCAAGAUGGCAUGUGAGUCUUUGUUUCCUGUACAUACUAACAUAUAAGAUUUUAUACUGUGUACUUCAUGGGCGACUUAAAGAAAUUUCAGGAGUUGCUGUCGUGGCUCAGUGAUUAAUGAAUCCGACUAGGAACCAUGAGGUUGCGGGUUCGAUCCCUAGCCUUGCUCAGUGGGUUAAGGAUCCGGCGUUGCUAUGAGCUGUGGUGUAGGUCGCAGAUGCGGCUCGGAUCCCACGUUGCUGUGGCUCUGGCAUAGGCGGGCAGCUGCAGCUUCGAUUCAACCCCUAGCCUGGGAAUCUCCAUAUGCCGCAGGAGCGGCCCAAGAAACGGCAAAAAAAAAAUGACCAAAAAAAAUUUUCAGAGGCAGCUUUAGGCCAAUUUGAUGUAUAAUUGAGAACAAGAUAUAACUCUACUUAGUGUCUUUGUUUCUCACCUUCAUCAUAUAUAAAAUGAGCUGGUAUAAGAUGAUCAUUUAGAGCUUUUCCACCCAUGUAGAGUUGUGAUG
rnacentral:lncRNA from 1 species